CCGGCGAGGGGAGUGAAAAAGAACCUGAAACCGUGUACGUACAAGCAGUGGGAGCACGCUUAGGCGUGUGACUGCGUACCUUUUGUAUAAUGGGUCAGCGACUUAUAUUCUGUAGCAAGGUUAACCGAAUAGGGGAGCCGAAGGGAAACCGAGUCUUAACUGGGCGUUAAGUUGCAGGGUAUAGACCCGAAACCCGGUGAUCUAGCCAUGGGCAGGUUGAAGGUUGGGUAACACUAACUGGAGGACCGAACCGACUAAUGUUGAAAAAUUAGCGGAUGACUUGUGGCUGGGGGUGAAAGGCCAAUCAAACCGGGAGAUAGCUGGUUCUCCCCGAAAGCUAUUUAGGUAGCGCCUCGUGAAUUCAUCUCCGGGGGUAGAGCACUGUUUCGGCAAGGGGGUCAUCCCGACUUACCAACCCGAUGCAAACUGCGAAUACCGGAGAAUGUUAUCACGGGAGACACACGGCGGGUGCUAACGUCCGUCGUGAAGAGGGAAACAACCCAGACCGCCAGCUAAGGUCCCAAAGUCAUGGUUAAGUGGGAAACGAUGUGGGAAGGCCCAGACAGCCAGGAUGUUGGCUUAGAAGCAGCCAUCAUUUAAAGAAAGCGUAAUAGCUCACUGGUCGAGUCGGCCUGCGCGGAAGAUGUAACGGGGCUAAACCAUGCACCGAAGCUGCGGCAGCGACGCUGAUGCGUUGUUGGGUAGGGGAGCGUUCUGUAAGCCUGUGAAGGUGUGCUGUGAGGCAUGCUGGAGGUAUCAGAAGUGCGAAUGCUGACAUAAGUAACGAUAAAGCGGGUGAAAAGCCCGCUCGCCGGAAGACCAAGGGUUCCUGUCCAACGUUAAUCGGGGCAGGGUGAGUCGACCCCUAAGGCGAGGCCGAAAGGCGUAGUCGAUGGGAAACAGGUUAAUAUUCCUGUACUUGGUGUUACUGCGAAGGGGGGACGGAGAAGGCUAUGUUGGCCGGGCGACGGUUGUCCCGGUUUAAGCGUGUAGGCUGGUUUUCCAGGCAAAUCCGGAAAAUCAAGGCUGAGGCGUGAUGACGAGGCACUACGGUGCUGAAGCAACAAAUGCCCUGCUUCCAGGAAAAGCCUCUAAGCAUCAGGUAACAUCAAAUCGUACCCCAAACCGACACAGGUGGUCAGGUAGAGAAUACCAAGGCGCUUGAGAGAACUCGGGUGAAGGAACUAGGCAAAAUGGUGCCGUAACUUCGGGAGAAGGCACGCUGAUAUGUAGGUGAAGUCCCUCGCGGAUGGAGCUGAAAUCAGUCGAAGAUACCAGCUGGCUGCAACUGUUUAUUAAAAACACAGCACUGUGCAAACACGAAAGUGGACGUAUACGGUGUGACGCCUGCCCGGUGCCGGAAGGUUAAUUGAUGGGGUCAGCGCAAGCGAAGCUCUUGAUCGAAGCCCCGGUAAACGGCGGCCGUAACUAUAACGGUCCUAAGGUAGCGAAAUUCCUUGUCGGGUAAGUUCCGACCUGCACGAAUGGCGUAAUGAUGGCCAGGCUGUCUCCACCCGAGACUCAGUGAAAUUGAACUCGCUGUGAAGAUGCAGUGUACCCGCGGCAAGACGGAAAGACCCCGUGAACCUUUACUAUAGCUUGACACUGAACAUUGAGCCUUGAUGUGUAGGAUAGGUGGGAGGCUUUGAAGUGUGGACGCCAGUCUGCAUGGAGCCGACCUUGAAAUACCACCCUUUAAUGUUUGAUGUUCUAAC
rnacentral:rRNA from 1 species